UCCUUACUUCUCAGGGUGUUGUCUUUAGGGCAGUCAGGGUUAGAAGAAGACUUGGGCUGCCACGAUGCCAAAAAGAACAAGUCAAGAGUAUUAGUGUGGUCAGGAUCUACUACUCCCUUGGUUCUCCAGCUUUUCAGGUCAGACCCAAGAACUGCCAAGUCUCAGAUCUCAUGUCUGUCUUGUUGGCUUCUUUCUCCAGUGGGAAGGAAGGCAGGCAAAACGUUCCCUUUUGGCAAUGGGAAAAAAGAAAAGAGAAAGGAUGGAAAGAAGGAAGUCCAAGCUGGAAGGUACAAGAGCCAGGUUAGAGGUGUGUGUGUGUGUGUGUGUGUGUGUGUGUGUGUGUGUGUGUGUGUGUGUGUGUGUGUGUUGUGUGUUUGUGUGUGUGUGUAUGAGAGAGAGAGAGCCUAUUUGUGUGUUCUUGCUGGGGACACAUGUACAUAUCCAUAUACAUUUCUUUUUCUGAAUAAAAUAACCAUGACAAUGCUAGGCAAGUACUUGACUACUGAGCUAUGUCCUCAUCACCCAGUUACACAUUUACAAGUGUUCAUUUCUUUUCAUUUAAAAAUAUCAAUUCAUAUUUUCUCAGAGAUUACUAUCAAAACACAAACUAGACACAUGCUCUUGGGCAAUGGAUUCUGGAUGGAGUUUUGGCCCAACUAAAAACCCAUGGAGUCCUUAGAGAGCUGGAGAACCUACGAUUUGCUCUCAACCCAGAGUGAAGACUAUAGCUGCUGGAUAAUGCAUGGCAGAGCUGCCUCCAUCACUGAGACCCUGAUUGCUGUUGCUCAAACUACCCCAACAUUAGAAUCAGCUCCCCACUUCUUUACCCAAGAGCACAUUUGCUUUGGGGAGGGAGCUGGGUAGAUAGGCUCAAUAUCAAGUUAGCAUCAAAUCCCCAUCGUAGCUUCUAAAUCCUAGAUAGUAUAGCUGAUAUUCUUAUCAUAACCUUACUUGGUGUUUUUGUUAUUGUUGGUGGUAGUGGUAUUGGGGAUUGAAGUCAUGGCCUCAUGCUUGCUAAACAAGUGCUCUGCCACUUGAGCCACAUCUCUAGCCCCUCAUUUGGUGCCCUUUUUCUUUUUUCUAUAGUCCCUCUAAUAACUCCAGUCUAGUUAAGAUUUAUUGACAUGGGUCUCAAUCCAUUCUUCUUUACUGGGUAACAGAUUGCCAACCUAGAAAAAUUUCACUCAUGUGUUGACUGACAUGCCCAUUCUCCCAGGAAACUUUUUUUGGUAGGGUUUUUUAGGAGUCGUUGUUUAGAGCUGAGAUGUGGUUCCAGUGGUAGAACAUCUGCCUAUCAAGUAGGAGGCUCUGAGUUUAAACCCCAGGACCACCAACAAAAGAAGGUGAAGGAAGAGGAGAAGGAGGAAAUCAUUGUCCACAAAGGAUGUAAAUAGCUAUGAUGAUGGAAUUUUAGACUUCUAUGACAUGAAACAUGAUAUAAAUUUGAGUGAGGUAUUUUAUGAUUUUUCUUAAAUCACAGAGGCAUUUACCCACCUUACCCCAAAUCUAAAGUUCCCAGCCUGUUUAGAGAGUUACAGAACUCUUUCUGCUUCUUUUAUUGCCAGAUUUUGAAAGGUAAAAUUAAAUUAGAAAGAGGCAAGAUUCAUCUAGUGAAGAAGAUUAUGCAUGAAUUAAUCAAGGUCUGAACUUCUCAUUUGUUCUGACCGGGGUGGUCAUUUAUUCCAUAACUUCAUUCCAACUUGUAGAUAGUGUCCUGCAUUGCAUCAACACUCAUAACUACCACAGUUUCCAUUUAUGGAUGAUUACUGCAUGCCAGAUGCUUUAUACAGAAUUUGAUGAGGAAGUGUAAUUUCAGAAAGGUUAAGUUACCUGCUCAAGGUCACAUAGCUAAGGUUUGAACUGUUUGUAUGUUUCCCUAUCUGCUAGGUUUUAACACUUCAAAAGUAUGCCUUAUGGGUUAAAUAAACUGUAGAUAAGCACAGAAGUGAACUGGAUCCCCCCCCACACCCCUGAAAUAGUUUUACAUCUUCUGAGCAUACAGAGGGGCGCCCCUGAAGUAUUUCUCAACUGGCUUCUCCAGUGGCUGACCCAGGUACCUGCAUACCUGUGGAAUUUCCAUCUCCCUGAAUUCAAUUUUCCUGGCAGCCCCUGUGAUUUUUCAGUAUGAUCACUACUCUCACCACUUAGAGCCCACCCCUCUCCCAAGAAAAGGAUUAUACCUAUAAUUGCAGGCAUCUGGUUUCUAAGGGGGAAUCCAUGAGUUCCCAUUUUCAUGGGCAGAGGCCUGCUUUCCUACAAGGAUUAGCUUGUGAAACUAAGAAGCAUCUAGAGCUUGAUCUUCAGAGCCCCUCAUCUCCCUGAGCAUGCCCUCCAAGCACUACUUCUCUGGCUCGAUCCUUGUUAGAUAAAGUAUCCCAGUGGUGCAUUUGUAUUUUAAAGGAUGUGAUCUGCAGAGGGCUAUGCUUAACACCAUGUGCUCUAAUGGUAGAACUUAAGGCAUUUCAGUGGCAGGAUAAUUGGGGAGGGGGAAACAGAGCCUUCCCAGGGGCUUUAAACUGCAUCACUGCAUAAGGCUGAUCCUGCAUCUCAUUAUCCAUUAACAGCAGAUGAAAGCUCCAAAAUUACAUCCCUUUAUUCUGAUAUUUGAAACUAAGCAGAGAGUGGACUGCUUUCUCUGUUUUCACCUGGCUGCUGGCAUCCCCCAGACACCCUUCCCAUCUUCCUGUCCCAUCUUGUCUCUGUCUUGCUCCCCUCAAGGGUAGAGUCCUUAAGGGAAACAGCUCCCCAUGUCACUAAGGAGCCCUGUGGAAAAGGUUGAGUUGUCAAAUGAGGAGACACCACAGCAGACACCCUUACCCCCCCGCCCCCAACUCUGGAAUGAAGAUGGAGAGUUUUCUGUGCCUGGUUUGGUUCACGGAGACACAUAGUUCAUCAUUUGAUUUGCUACAAAGAGUAUUCCUGCUCUCCACCCACCCCCUCCCUAGCAUCCUCCAGUCUUUGCUUAGAGCUGGAAGGAUCUUAGUGAUAACCUACUCGAGCCACUUCAUUGCGAAGGAAGGGAAACUGAGGCUUAGCCAGAGAGCAGAUACUAGGUAUUCUGAUUGCAAGCUAGUACUCUCCUCAAUUCUACACUGAGUCUUGCUCUCUGUGUUUCAAUAGUUUUGGAAUCUCUCCCUACAAACCCCAGAAUGCAAACUUGAUUUUUUAUGGUAGAGAACAUAGCAGCCAUCACACUGAUGUAUGUGUGCCCUCUGUCUUGGUUGUGGCCAUUUGGGGGAAGGGUACAUGAUCCAUCUUAUAUCAUGCUCAUUUUCCCAUAGGAGUCCAGCUUUGAUUUCUAUGACAUUAGAGAGUUUUCCCCACCCAUAUCUAUACCAGUUACACAUCACUACCCUCAAUCCAUUUCCUAAUGCUGACCAGGGCCUGGAGUUGGGGCUGAAGGUCUCGAGACAGAGGGCAGAGAGCUCUGAAGACUGCAGACAAGGGAUAAGAUGAAGCUUAGGAUGGAGAAUGAAGAAAGCAAUGAUUGGCCUCAAGACUGCCUGUGUUCUCUGAAUGUGCAGGUUCACAGACACUGAGGGAAGACCAUGUGAAGACAGAGGGAGACACAGCUGUCCACAAGCCAAAGAGAAGGGCCUUGAGAGGAACCAGAGCUGCUGACAACUCCAUCUCUCAUCUGCCACUUUGAGCUGCCAGAAUUGUGAGAAAAUAAAAUUUCUGUUGUUUCAGUCA